rnacentral:lncRNA from 1 species
CGCCGCUGCUGCCGCCGCUGCCGCCGCUGCUGCCGCUGUAGCUUAUCUCUCUGCAUUGCUAAUUAGGCAGCGGGGCGGCAAGAACUGCACAUGCUCUGCAAUCGUUCCCUGUCCGAGGUCAAAAGGUGCAUGUAGAGCUCGGCUGGAACGACACGGCGACGUACACACGUCUACUCAUGUAGACAAGCGGCAUGCACUGCUUUCUUACGAACCAUCGAAACCAGGAGGUGAAAAUACAUUAAUAUAUUUUACGAGGCAUCAUUUUGAAGAGUCUGUGGCCCGUGACUUCAAAUAUAUUUCUCCUUCUGGCCCCCAACAAAAAAAGUUUGAAAACCCCUGACAUAGGACAACUCUCUGCCUAAUUGGUCAGCGCCUUCGGUGUUGGAGACGGAUGGCGAUUGAUUUAUCGGCGCUGUAAUUCAUGUUGACAGUGGAACGUAUGGUCAUCACGGGAUUCAUAAAGGCACUGGAGAGGGAGGGGAAGAGUCAGCAGCCUGGCGAGAUGCUGAGCUGGAGCUUAAUGAGUGAAGAGCCAGAUGGCACCAGUCACGAUUCCAUCACAUCACAAUACCAUCCACUGCACUGUGCGUGGUAAUGCCAUCUAUGAUGGAUUCCUAGUAUAAACAUGACAGGAGGAAGAAGUAAUCCAACCUCACUCACAAGAUAAC